rnacentral:snRNA from 1 species
AUCGCUUCUCAGCCUUUGGGCAAAGAUCCAAGUAUAGUAUCUGUUCUUAUCAGUUUAAAUAUCACCUAAAUCUGAUUUCCCUGUGACUUCCUAUUUACAAUUUGGAAAUGUGUUUUCGUAGAAAACCUUA